rnacentral:lncRNA from 1 species
UCAUUGGCCGCUGGGCUAACCAGAGUAAUCAUCCUAAGUGACAGCAAGUCCAGAAUCCAUGAAUGCAUGGCACUAAGCUUUGAGAUUCUAAAUGGAUAAACUCUUUUGUGAGCUCAAAGCUACAUCAAGAGUGGUGUUACCGAUCCUUUGGUUUUUCGGGCACAUACAAGCACUUGGAAGGAGCAGUAGUUCUGGUGACUUGUGAAUCAUCACAAUCAAAGAUGUGAUAAGUCCGCUGUAUGCUUAAAAGCUCGGCUCUGCAAGGUACAUGCACCAGGUAAAAGGACACAUGAUGCUGCUCUAUCUCUUCCAAGUGGGUGCAGAAUCUUGGCGUUCCAUCACCGUCGUCGCGUGUUUCUUUCCUUCGUGGAGGGUCCAUGCACGGGCAGGCUCUUGUGCUACGACAUUGGACGCAAAAGGAAGAUUUGAGUUGAUUUAUCGGAUUACAUCUAACAUUGUCUAACAAAUUAAAAAAUCAUAACUAAUUCCUAGUUUUCUUUAGGAAAAGGAAAAUUAAGAGAGCACGAGAUUGCUAUUAUCCAUCAAAUUGAUUAGUUAUUUAUACUAAUUCAUUGAAUUAAUAUCAUGUAGAUAGCACAUAUUUUGUAGAUAGCAUAGGAUGACAAAUGAACUUUCUCAAUUCUUGAUAAAUCAUGAUACAUAACAAUUCAGGAUAAGCCCAACAUAACUAAUUAUGAGGACGUAAUCUGAUUCCAAUUUUAUCUCUAUCGUUAGAACGCAAAUGAAUCGCAAGAAUAAAGACAGACCCAUUCAGCUGAAAACUAAAUGAAGAUAUACCGAUGGUAGCAAUUGCAGAAAGUGAGGUCUGCUGAAGAUAGACAGCAUCAGAAAAAUGGAACAUGAUGCACUUCCGAUACAUUUCAGCAUUAAGAAAACACAAAAUUCCAGACCUUGGACUAUACCAAUGGACAAGAGAACUAUACCAGGAAAGAUUAUUUUUAUGAUACAAAAGCAGGUUAUGAUACAAACUUUUGAAUACUGCUGAUGUGUUAUUCUGCAAAAAAAGACUAUUAAAACUGAUGGAGCUGACGCUUCCUUUCCUUCACUUCUUCCAUCUACUUAUUAGUGCACAAAGUCAUAAUCUCAAUAUCCAUACAGCAUAGCAUCAAAAUCCUUUCUGUAUUGUGGAACUAAUCCACUUCAGCUGUGCCUAUAUAUUGUUCUAUGAUGUACAGGAUCUCACGUGACUCUUCUAGAGAAAACUAGAAGGACUUCAGUUUCAGUCUUCAAGUCCUUGAAGUCAAAUAAAUUAAGUUAUAUGAACACACAUAGCCAUGUUGUAGUCUCUAUUAUAGUCAAUCAAUGCUAUAAUUAUUAAGCACAAAUCAAACAAAUAUAACCUAUCUUCUUUAGAAGUAUCAUUUAGGUUGUAACCAAGUAUCUGUACCAACAGUGAAUCUAAAUCUUUGAUGAAAGUGGAGAAAACCCGACAUUUAUCAUCAGUAUAUGCUGUUGCAAGAAGAAUCUGCAACCACAAAGUCAAAGAUGAAGUCAAAGAAACAAUGGAAUUUGUUCUGAUAUGAUGGUCGCAAGCACCAUUGCUCUUUUAGUUCUGGUAAUAGGUGUAAAAACAGAUGCACAUUUGUAAAUACAGUAGGUUUCAUGAAUGCAGAUGAAAUCAGUCGAUUUAACUUUUCCAAGUCCAGCUUCUCCCUUUUACAUGUUACCAAUUGUCAUAUUGCAAUUGAAGCAAAAACAAGAAGGGGGAUAUGCUAAAUGUUCAUAUAUUAUUCCAGUGUACAUUCUUAAAGGCCCCAUAUCUGGAUUAAAAGAUCUAAUGAUCCAAAAUCAUUGCUCUACACCAAAUCCAAUAACAGAAAGCCAACAGAGACAAGACCAGUACAUUAUUUUAUUAUUUCAAUUACUGUUUCAAAUUUAAUGAUUCACAAAUCUGUUGACUAUGCAGUUGUUCCAUUCUUAUUCUUAAAAAUCAAACAAAUAAGAUUUUCCAUCUUUUAACAUCCAUAGUUACUCAUCCUCUUUUGCUAUCAAGCUAGCCCAACCGUUCUACAUUAUAUAAAUAGAUAUAUGCCAAAAGGAUCAGGAAGGAUAAAUUCACACCUACAGUGUCACAGUAGGUUGACAUCUUCCCUAAAUCUCCUUGUAUUUCCAUGAUAUCCUAUAUGUCAUACAUAAGUGUUCUCCUUUUUCACUUUUGUUCUUUCACCCACUUCACUUGCUAUUUCACCUUCUUUUUCACAGCAUAAUAACACGAAACUCAUUGUUUUAGAACAAAAGCAGCUAACCAUCUUGGUAUUCUAGAUACGUUUCAAAUCUUGAAAAUUAUUUUGACAUGCAGUCUUACAGUUCAAACAUAAAAAAUAAGUUAUAUUAGCUGGAAAACAUGCUGAAGUUCAACAAUUUAUUUGACAGGAGAGAAAAUAGAGAAUUAGACAUCAAAAAUUUGUGUGGAAGUUAAACUGAAAUAAAAAUGACCAAAUUACACUGUUCAGUGUUUGAACUUCAACGAAAAAAAAAAGGUUGCAUGAUAUGAAUAAGGUGAUUAUAUUGACAAACUUACAUUGGUAGGAUGCCAUUCAACACUUGCAACAGAAGAAUUAUGCUUCUUCUUGAUAAGCUUUAACCAAAUGAAAAAGAAUAAUCUUGGGUAAGAAACUAAAUUUAGGUUAAGGGGGUUAAAAUUAGUUUACAUAACGCAAUCAGUUUUAAAAACAAAAGUUUCUGCUAGCUCUCCCAGAGAAACAAAUAAAGAAAGCACAAAGUUUAAUGACGUGAACUAGUCAACCCUUAGAAAGAGCAGAAUAAAGAAUCUCUGGUUAGACAGAUUUCCAAAAUUAGAGCAAUAAUGACUUCAAAUAGUUCUUUGAGUUUUGACCAAACAUAUGACAAACCUUCUUAGAUUGUUAUCGAGAUUUUAACCAUGACCAACAAGUAUUUAGUAGAAUGGAGAGGUUGAUUUAGUUGCAGUCUUCUAUCAGGUUCGUUAUAAGAUUUCGGAAGAGGCAGGACAAAAAAAUACAUUUUUUUAUUUAUACUUUUUUAUUUUCUCAAAGGCCAAGCUACUAGACCAUUCCACUUAAUGAACUCAUUCAUGUUGAAAUUUUGACAAUUUAAGUUGUACUAAGUGCAACAACUCCUACAUGGAUACUUCCCUCCAAAAUGAUUGUUCUCAAAUGUACCUAUGGCCAUAGGGCAUACCCUAAUUAUUAGCCAACUAGCUUUGAGAUUAAUUUAACAAGGAAGCUUGGUCAAAAAGGUGCUGAUGCUCUAUCAAUUCCACAUGAAACACUCUAAUCACUGUCAUAUGCAAUCUACAGAAUUUCACCUUUAAACUAACAUAUCUGCUCUGGAACACAUUUUAAAGUUUAAACCAGUGCAGCUAUUGAAGCACAAAGACAUGCUUGUUGAGACAAUGUCAUCAAAAAUAAAACUAGCAAGAGAGGGAAGUAGUUUACUAUGCAUCAGAUGAAAUGUGGUAGUGCCUCUUAGGAAUUAUCUAUGUAUUUUUUAAUAGCCAAAAUACAAAUAAUAUCUACUGGAUGCAGAUUUGUAGAUUCCUCAAUUAGCUGGCACAUGUGCAGCUUGAUCAUUGACAAUGAACAAAGAUGAGCCCAUAGAAAGUGCUAAAUUAAAAAAAAAGCCUUUUGACCAGAUUGAACAAUUUUAUCAAGCACCAAGACAGAUGUAUUCAUGUAUAUAAGUAAACAGAUGUAUAAGACACAUGGUAGUUGAUUACACUGCAUAUAUGAGAUGCAUACAAUAUGUAGUAAGCAUAGAAGUUAGCUACUGAAUAUAGGAGAUGCACGGAGUAGAAUAGAAUAGGGACUCCGACAGAUAUCUCAUAUCCGAACAUCUACUCGUCGCAAUGUCUAUCAUAUGUGUAUGACCCUCUAGGCCCAGUAUCGAACUGGCCGUGAGUCAUACCUGUCAGAACUCCUUCUAGCUUAGUGAAUUAUCAUUUCCAUAAUAAUUCACUCGACUCAUCGACUAUUGACGUACUAGGUCACUACGCCGUAGUCCGCAAAUGAUACAAUGGAAUCUAAUCCUUUGGACCUAUCUAUCCUCAGUUAUCGUAUACGUAUAGUCCCUCAUCAUUCUAAUAUCUAAGAGACCAUAUAUCAAGCUUGGUACUAUCAAGCCCAUAUAGUUUCUACUCGAGUCUCGCUCUAAUCGGAUUCUCUCGGAGAACUCUUUCUCUCUCAAUCCAAAUGACCAUGGUCAGGGUUUUUUCUGAGCAAGAAUACAUGAGAUAUUCCUCUCAUGACACCGAGAGCAAAUGAUCCUCUAUCGACACUCAAUAGCCCUCGUAAGGUUGGCUACCACUCCUGACCAGUUAUUCUCUUGCUCGUAGUGACAUGUGCAUACAGUUUUACCACCACUUCCAAUAGCAAACUUGUUUUCUGAGAUUAUACUCCUGAACCAAAACCUUACAUAUCAGGCAAGAUCUUAAUAUAAAAACUUCUGCUGAUUACUGAUCCAAAUCCAAGUAAUCUAUAACUCCAAGUGUAUUUGUUAGAUUUUAACAAAAAGUUCUACUAAUACUAAAUUGCAAUUUCAUAGAUUACGAGGCAUAUCAAACUUUUUAAGAAUUCAAAUUGGAUGUGGCCUUUCAAACUUUUUGUUCACUGAACAGUAAAAUGGUUGUGUCCCAUCACUCUUCAUUCAGGUAUCAUUUGUCACCGUCAUCCACAUCAACCAUUCAAGUUGAUACAGUCAACGGAUAAAAGUAAACAUGACAAUGACAUGGUUGCACCCUCACUUUGCUCUUCAGUUUUGUUCAUAUACAUCAAACAAGGCACAUCAUACCACUAUGUUAAAAUAACUUGUGAAUUUAUGGUGGUGCAGGAUGCAAUCAUAAAGAAAGUAGCCAUAAAGUGCAUUCAUAUUUUAAUUAGCCAAGGCUACAGUUGUGAGUCCUGUUAUGCCAGGCAGUAGAGGUACUGAAGACAUACUUCACCAUUCACAUAUGUGCACGGGGCGCUAUGCAUACAGUUAAUAUACAUCAAUUCAAAACAUCCAGAACAAAGAAAAAUACACAAUAAAUAACUACAAUAGAGAAAUACAUUUUGAACCAAGUACCACAAGACCAUGAUCCGCUUAAUACAUAAUUGCAAAAGGACAAAAAGUUGGAGCCUUUUUAUUAAUCUAUUUAAUCAUGAUACAUGAAAGAUAGCUACUAAAAAUGAUAAAUAGCAAAUAUAUAGCAGAACAGAAAGUAAUAAAGAAUCAUUGUUAACAAAAAAGAAUGGCUCGAGCCGUGUAACGAUUUAGAACACAAAGAAAUGGAGAACGAGAAAAAGAAAGGAAUAUGUAGCACUAGAUCUGGCUGUUGCAGGGCAUAAGAGGAGAAGAAAAGAAAACAAGAAAAUAGAAAAACAGUGAGGAGAAGGAAAAGAAAGGAGAAAAGGGUCAAGGUGAUAGAUGGCAGAGUUCAGCAAAUGAGGGACAAGGUGGGAAAACAAAUGACAGGAAAAGUAGAAGAUUACACAAGCUCCAACGAUGACAGUAGCACAGUAAUGGGAGCAAGUACCAUCUAAGAAAUAGCUUACAUGAAAGAAAACAAAUUUAGCGAUACUGUUAUAUCAAAUGCAGAAAAUCAUAUAAGUCAAGAGGAACAUGAAACUUUAUAGAACAAUCUAACUCAAACGCAGAAAAUCACCAACAAGAGCCAUUGAUGAACAGAAACAAAAGUGAGAUUGUGCAUCUCAUCCCAUCCUAUCACCUUUAGGACUCCAUUAAACACAAAGGGCAGCACGAUUAAGCCUAAGAAUAAUAAGAGUAGGUACCCACUCAGAUGCUUCUUGAUUCCAAACAUAUCUGAGAUUAGGAAUAUCAAAAGGUACGUAAAUCUGGAUGUGUUAGUACCAUCUUAACCACAUGAAUACUUAACUGUCACAGAGUACAAUCUUUUAUAGGAAGAUACUCUCGAAUUCCGAUCAUGUGAAACAGUUACGAUUUUGUUAGAUCUUAUGCUCCAAUCUAUUCCAGAUACAAGUUAAUUUGCUGCAGAAUACAAUGACAAGAAACACAAGAAGUGUUUAUGAGAAUGAGCACUGCCUAAACCACAUGACACUCAUAAACUUAGAUAGGUGAAAAUCCUCCGGACUUAAAAUCUUUCAAUAAUUGUUGGUCCCUAAUUUUAGCAGUUUUCUGUAUUUAGCAUAAUUAGCCAUUUCUUGAGUAUUUGGUGUGGUAUUAGUCAUUGCUAGGAAGAAAGAAAUCUUGAAAUGAAAAUAAAAGACAUUCAUCAGUAGGACCUUUAGCUAUACAGAACUUUACCUAUACAUAUACAACCUAGUAAAACAAACCAUAUAUGUAAAUAUAUAUGUCUAAUAAGAACAAGUUCAUUGUUUCCCAGCUCCAUCAAUCUAGGCUUCUUAAAUUUUACAGGAUUUAUUAAAGCCCUUUUCUUUAUCUUAAUGGCUUAAGCUGCUCCAAAUUCAUAUUUAGUGCAUCUACAAAAGCUGUGUGAUAUAUAACAAAAUUGUUGUGAGUAUUUCCAAUAUAGUGAAAUGUGUUAUCUAAAUACAGCUUGGUACAAUAUAAGCAAUUCCUACAACAAAGAAAUUCCAUAACAGCUUAAAAUAUAUUGUUUGUAAUCAGAAUACAUGAUUAUAAUGCCAAAGAAAGAAAUAAGACUUACUCUAGUUACAAACACGAAAUGCAAAUGCUUCCAAAGGAUGUAAGCUUCAUAAUAAUACUGUCAUAUAAAAUAGGAAGUAAACAAAGAUAAUGAUACUGUUUGAAGUAUAUGUACCCUCUCCCAUUUUUCACCACGAGUUCAUAGAUAUGAACCUCGUGAUUGUUUGGAUAAAAUGCAACCACUGCAAGAGAGAAUAGUAUUGAGUUGUAAGCUUCAACAUAUAAAGUACAUGACUUAUUAUCAAUUCUUAAUGAUUUAAAGUAAGUUAUUGUCAAUACAAACCAAAAAAGGGCAAUAUAACAAUGAACCAAAAGGUGAUUGAAUCCUGAAACUUACAGAUCAAUAGAAAACCGAGGAAGACAACGAUGAGGAGGUUCUUGUAGACCUAUUAAUGGAAGGCAAACACUAAACCUAUUAGACAUGGUAUCCCACUAUCACUACAUCAAUUCUCUUUUAACACAAUUUAAGCUAGUAUUAUGCAUAAAAUCAUGCAGUAGAAACUGACAAAACUGCAGGCAUAGUCCAUCAUCAGCAACUUAAAAAUCAUCUUUGGACCAUAAAUCCACACCACUGUGAGAAAUUUCACAAAUGUCGAUUUGUUACUGCAAAGUGUUGAAACUAAUAUAGUAGAUAUCGUACAUCUUACCCUGUUUGCUUCUUUCAAAAGAAUGGUGCAAUUAAAAUAAAGCAUCAUCGCUCUGCCAAAACAUGGGAUAAAUCUUAUUGAAUAAAGAGAUAGGCAAAUGUCUCUGACCAUCUAAUAGACAGAGAAUCAGUAAAUAUUCUAUUAACAUGAUAGAAACCAGAAGAUCAAGUGCAGUACUAAUUCUUGCAUCCUCCAGAAGAUAUCUACUUAAAUGUCCUGCUCCAUUAAAGCUUCCAAGAGUGCUCAAUAACUACAAGUUAUCAAGACCAAACUAACUAAUGAAUUCUUAUAUGUUUUUCUAUAAGCUACCUGUAACAACAAAAGCACUCAUUCAUUCACGAAUUGUCCAUUAUAUCAGAUGCUCGCCACACAUUCACAUCAUACCAUGACAUAGCAUGCAUAUAAAUGCAGUGACAAAGUAGGUAUGAAGUUAUGAACCAUUGUUCAAGUCCCUUGAUGUGCAUGUUAUAGAUAAUCUAGAGGUUUUUCUAGGAAAUUGUGGUUGAAAGAGAGAGCAACAGGUCUAAGCACAUGACAUAGAAAGGAAAGCGGUAAGAAUACAGAAUGGUUCUAAGAUAGUACUAAUACCCUUCACUGGUAACAAAAAACUCCACAAACGAAUUCAAGGAGACCAAAAUUGAAGUCACGUCGCAUGGAUCAAAAGGAACGAACAGAAAGUGGGAAAUAGCCGUACGAAGUAUCACUCUAAUAAACAAUCAUAGACGGCAAUAAAAGAAAGCUAAUCCUACAGUAACUGCUACCCAUUCAAGAUCCCAUACGUAGAUCCGGAAGAACGAUUGAAGAACAUAGCAGCAAACCGAUAAAAGAGAGAAGAAUUGAGGAAACGGAGGUUACUAGAUUGAUCGGGGCACCAAGCAUGGCAGGUGAUGCACUGCGCGAACUGAUGGAUCGCCACCGCUGCCAUGCCCUAAAUCACCUUCUCCUCCUCCCCCCCUUCGCCACUCCUCUCUCUCUCUCUCUGAGCGAAGGGAACUACGAGAGGAACGAGCAGAGGCGGACUUGAGAGGAUUCGUCGUCGAGGAGGAAAGCUGGAGAGGCGAACCAAACCCUUGUGAUUGUAAGUAUAAUUGUAACUUUGGCUCAAAUUGGGAAUACUUUUCACGAUGUAACUAACUAAUUAUUGGUGACUAGUUAGUUGGAAAUAACUAACUAUUUAGUUGGAAAUAACUAAUUAGUUGGUAGCUAACUUUUGAUUUGUUUUUUCUUUCAUCAAUAUCUUUUUUUUUCAUUUUUUAUUUUACGUGAAAACCUUUGCUACUAC